rnacentral:misc_RNA from 1 species
UCCCAGUUAUCCUGGGCAGUACCGAAUGAAAAUCCAACAUUCGGAAAGGGUUGCGCUCGUUGCGGGACUUAACCCAACACUUCACAGCACGAGCUGACGACGACCGUGCAACACCUGGUCUACGGUUCCCGAAGGCACAGCACUGUUUCCAGCGCCUUCCGUAGAUUUCAAACCUUGGUAAGGUUCUUCGCUUAGUGACGAAUUAAACCACAUGCUCCACCGCUUGUGCGGGCUCCCGCCAAUUCCUUUGAGUUCCAGUCUUGCGACCGUACUUCCCAGGCGGGAUACUUAAAGCGUUAGCUUCGGUUCUGAAAGGGUCGAAGCUUCCAAAACCUAGUAUCCAUCGUUUACGGCGUGGACUA